CAAGAAAGCCCAAAAGCUAACGAGAGAGAGGAUUAAUUAGGGCUGAUUCACAAGCAACUUAUCAUACCUACCAUCACUGUUAGUUUCAGCCUGGCACUCUAUUUACAAAACUACUUGUGUUCUGUUUUUAGCCUUUUCAUCCUGGCAGGAAGGACUACCAUGCCUUCUUCCUUCUGAAUCAGCUUGGUCUACAUGAUAAUUUUCUUGUCUCCAGACUUUCAGAAAGGGAAAAGAAAGCAAUUAUCUUCACUCAACUGACAUGAAUUUCAAGGCUCUUUAAGCUAUCUGUUCAACUGCUCGGCCUGUCCAUACAGCUUUCCAAGACAACCAAAUUGAAGAUAGGAUGCUUAGUGCUGUACCAGUAUGUGUCUGAAGACCUACAAAAAAGGGCUGAUGAAACUCUACCAAGAGAUCACCGCUCUGUUUUGAAUCCUGUGAGUGGACAAGCACAGCCUCACAGAACUUGUGUAAAUGAAGAACAAGCAAUCUGAUGCAGAGCUAUGGCAGGCUACGUCGUUUGGAGUGGAAUAAGCAUCUCAGUUUUGUCAGUACUUCUCACUGGCCGUAGAUUCCCUCAUGGGAAAAAUUCCAGGGAGUGGAUCUUGACAGAGUAUGGUAUAAGCAUGGCUGAUUCACAGGCUCAUGGCCAGAGCCAGGAGAAGAAUGUGGAACUCCAUGCAAAGAAGGCUGUGGCACAAGGCUGGUCAUCCAGGAGCGCGCACAGAACUGCAGGGAACAGAAAACAAUGCAAAGGGACUCUGGAGAGGUGGGGGAGCCCAUGGACACACAUGACUAGCUCAAUAACCAGUUUGUUACACGAAGCCAUCUAGCAU